ACGCAGCUACAACCGGCAAUGGGGAGAUUGUGAAAUAUAUCCUUGACCACGGAAAAAACGGUUUUCAGGAUGUCUAGUGCAAUGAGCUCAGGAGGACCUUCAGAGUUACUGGAUAUGGCAGACAGU